rnacentral:misc_RNA from 1 species
GAAAUGCGAUAAGUAAUGUGAAUUGCAGAAUUCGGUGAAUCAUCGAAUCUUUGAACGCACCUUGCGCUCCUUGGUAUUCCUUGGAGCAUGCCUGUUUGAGUAUCAUGAAAUCUUCAAAGUAAAUCUUUUGUUAACUCAAUUGGUUUCUACUUUGGUAUUGGAGGUCUUUGCAGCUUCACACCUGCUCCUCUUUGUUCAUUAGCUGGAUCUCAGUGUUAUGCUUGGUUCCACUCGGCGUGAUAAGUUAUCUAUCGCUGAGGACACUGUAAAAGGUGGCCAAGGUAAAUGCAGAUGAACCGCUUCUAAUAGUCCAUUGACUUGGACAAUACUUUUAUGAUCUGAUCUCAAAUCAGGUGGGACUACCCGCUGAACUUAAGC